AGCCAGACUCCUACGGGAGGCAGCAGUGGGGAAUAUUGCACAAUGGGGGAAACCCUGAUGCAGCGACGCCGCGUGAGUGAAGAAGUAUUUCGGUAUGUAAAGCUCUAUCAGCAGGGAAGAAAAUGACGGUACCUGACUAAGAAGCCCCGGCUAACUACGUGCCAGCAGCCGCGGUAAUACGUAGGGGGCAAGCGUUAUCCGGAUUUACUGGGUGUAAAGGGAGCGUAGACGGCAUGGCAAGUCAGAUGUGAAAGCCCGGGGCUCAACCCCGGGACUGCAUUUGAAACUGUCAGGCUGGAGUGCAGGAGAGGUAAGUGGAAUUCCUAGUGUAGCGGUGAAAUGCGUAGAUAUUAGGAGGAACACCAGUGGCGAAGGCGGCUUACUGGACUGUAACUGACGUUGAGGCUCGAAAGCGUGGGGAGCAAACAGGAUUAGAUACCCGAGUAU
rnacentral:rRNA from 1 species